AUACGAUUGGCUAGCAGGUUGGGCUGAGCUCCUGUGGUCCAUUCAACAGGAGCAGAUGUUAAGCUGUGCUCUCAGUCCAUCAGCGUCAGGCUGAGGGAGCUGUCACCCAGAUGUCAACUGCUAAGCGAGACAAACAACACAUCCCAGAAUCCCCCAGAAGUCACAGCCUCUGAGACGUGAGGGGUACAAGACACAUUCUUCAGUAUCAGCUGGCCAUUGCACUCUCCCCAAACUCUCUUCAAUUAUACCACACAGUGAAGCUGCAUUGUGAGGGUCCAGUAAUGUAAUCCCCCUAAAUCAAAAUGCAAAUCAGGCCUAUUCUCAAUCCUUUAUGCUCCCUUCUUUUUUGAAGAUGGCUAGCCGGCGAACGCUGUGAUGGUGUUUUUGUGCUUUGUGUGGGAAGAAACCUUACUUUUACUGUUUAUGGCAAGACACAAAACAGGUCAUAAACUCUACAAGUUCACUCCCUAUGCCACACAGUUGUCAGUAUGGAAAAAACAUAAUUCUAGUGCAUCGUCUGGAUGUAUGGUAAUAUGAUUAUUGAUAAUAGCACAUGUAAAAAGUAUAUAAUGUUACGGUAUUGGAAUGUUUGCCAUAGAAUGUAGUAUAGGACAUAAUAUCACAUUUUAUGCUGUCACAAAGCGAUUAAGAUCAAUAAACCAAUAAUUUACUGCAGUUAACAUUCCAAUGCCAAGAUAAACAAGAUGUUGUUGUCCGCCAUACAGCUCCAAACUUCUUCAGAGUGAGAGGCUAUAGAUAAGGUGAGAGAUAUCAAAGCAGCUAACAAUAGAGAGGUGGAUGGGUGAUGUACCUGUGGGUGAAUAACACACAUGAAUAGGUUCCUUAUGGGUAGUGUCUUGUCUCAACGCUAAUUGCUGUUAAAGUAUCAGAUCCCAUUUUAUGGUUAUCAAGUAUCUUUGAUGUUGGAUAAAAGUUUUCUAACUAAAACUCAAUGGAAGUAUUGUGCAUGAUCUGAACAUAAAACCCCUCUGGUCUUAUGUUCUGCAACCUAAACUUACAUGAACAUGUAUGCACUCACUAACUGUAAGUCGCUCUGGAUAAGAGCGUCUGCUAAAUGACUAACAUGUAAAUGUAAAUACCAACAUGCUAGUGUGUGACUUAUUUAGCCAACUUAGAAAGAAUACUUUUAAUGGUCUUGGACACUCUUCAUACAAUGAAUAAGAAGUGCAUUGUGCCAUAACAGACUUUGUCUUCAUUAUAACCGUGAGGUUCUCAUUAGACUCCCUAAAUAAUUACGGAACCUUCUAAUAGCACCGCUGUGCAUUUAUACGAUACAUUGAAAAUAUUGAAUAGCCAUGGUUAGUCCUCUGGUUUUGAUUUAUCCAAUCAUAAUCAAACACAUAAAACAGAGAACAUCCUCCCAGGCUUCCAGGAUGGAGGCAGUAAUGUAUACUGCUGUUAUGUCUCAAAUCCAACACCUGACACUGGAUACCUACUGUAUGCAGGUACAAUGUGUAUACUAAACACUGGUUGGUUUACAGUGUGUGUGGUAUCUAGGAAACCAUACAGUAAGGAGUUUAGUUUAGCUAUAAUCCGUCUUUAUAGGAAAACUACUAGAACCACCAAAGUAGCCGACUGUAUGUGGUGGAAAAUCAGAGCGUCAUAAGAACAUGGUCAAUCUGGUCAAUAUUUAAGCCAACAGUGGACUCUUACUUCAUGAUGUUAGAAACAAAAGCAAAUGUGUAAACACCUCAAGUAGUUUCUCCUUUUGAGUUAGUGCACUCAGUAUGCUGUGUAUACUUAUGCUUUAGUGGCUGCAUGCAUGCUGUGCUUGGCUUGUAUGUUGUUGUCAUGGUUCCUGUAUACAAUGUUCAAUGGCUCUGAAUGUCAAAUAUAAAUCCUACUGUAAGGCAGCCAAAUCAGAGAAAUGGAUGAUUGUAGUGAGUGUCAGGAUGCUUGGAGCCUUGCUUAUUGGUCUGGAAAGUCAGUUUGGCACUGACAUUUUUUUCUCCCUCUUGUUUAAAACACAAACAAACAUCCCCCCGAGCAAUGCAGUGUCCCAUGACCAUGACUUGAUUGACACCUGCGCCCUAUUUUGGGUUCAUCGACUAUGGAGUCACUGAACCUUCAAAUAUUGGAGUUCUGAUAGUGUGAUAGUUCUCUUGUUCUCUCUCUCUCUCUGUGUCUGUCUGUCUGUCUGUCUGUGAGAAGCACUUUCUCUGGUUUGAGAGUCCCCUGUAGUGCUCCUUGACUAACAAAUUAAUGUUUUCAGACAGGAGAAAUUGUAAUAGGUGCUUUACCCACUAGUUCAUCCCAAAAUCACAGUAAUAAAGUGGGAGAGAAUCAA